GGUGAGCCUGUAAAGUUUUAGGAUCAAGGUUAAAGGCCCUUUUUUGCUCUCUUCUCUCUUGGACCUUCAGGCGACGGCUUGGGUAUCUUCCAAGCGAAUUUUCCUUUCUUUCCUGUUCUUUUUUUUUUUUGAGACGGAGUCUUGCUCUGUCGCCCAGGCUGGAGUGCAGUGGCGUGAUGUCGGCUCACUGCAAGCUCCGCCUCCCGGGUUCACGCCAUUCUCCUGCUUCAGCCUCCUGAGUAGCUGGGGCUACAGGCGCCCGCCACCACGCCCGGCUAAUUUUUUUGUAUUUUUUUUUUUAGUAGAGACGGGGUUCCACCGUGUUAGCCAGGAUGGUCUCGAUCUCCUGACCUCGUCAUCCUCCCGCCUUGGCCUCCCAAAGUGCUGGGAUUACAGGCUUGAGCCACCGCGCCCCGCUCUUUCGUGUUCCAAAGGCUUUUUAAAUAAACUUCCACUCCUGUCCUGGAUUCUGCUUUAUGGCCCUCAGUCGAAUUCUUUCUUCUGAGGAGGCAAGGACUGAAGUUGCUUCUGACCAGUACAGGAGAAAACGAAUACAGCAGGGAUGACUUCCACCAGCUCCACUUUGCAGCUCUGAGGUGUAUUAAAAAUGACCUGGAAGAAGUCAUGCCACGGGCCAGACCUUAACAUUCCUUUCGGCUUACCCCAGGAUUUCAGACGAAGCUUCACUUUCCUAACCAGUCACAAAUCAGAGAAUUUUUGAUUCCACCUAUGACCUGUGAGCUCCUGCUUCAAGAUAUUCCACCUUUUUUAGGCCAAACCAAUGUAUAACCUCCAAGUGUCGAUUUACACUUUCGACUGUAACUUCUGCUUUCCUGAGAUUUACCCCUGCCUUUAAAAACCCUUGCUUGUAAUCCCUCAGGGAGGCCGUGUAUUUAUUAAUCAUGAGCUGCCCAAUUCUCCUUGCUUGGUGCCCUGCAAAUAAACACCCUCUUUUCUCCCACUGCAAAA
rnacentral:sRNA from 1 species